rnacentral:lncRNA from 1 species
CCAGGUUUUAGUCUGUAGGUGACUUUGGCUGGGUCUACGAAUGUCCGUGUGCAAGUAAUGGUGGUUCUCUUUGAAAUAUUCCCCUCCGAAUCUCAAGGUCUCUCCUUGUCCCGUCGCCUUCUCGUAUCCCUUGGUUUUGGAUUGGUAGUGAUGGUAAGGAUAUGUGCUUUGAUCCUCUUGUUUAUUUGAGUUCGAUUCUGCUGGGGUCGUGGUUUUG